ACUGCCCCCAGUGGCUUUGCAGGUGAGGUUGCUAUGGUGCCACCCAGGUGUCAAUGGGUGUCAGAGAGGUGGAAGACUAUGUCUACACUAGGUGUCCUGACCUGUAAACAUCAGAAUGAUUAGUAAUUAUCUUA